rnacentral:rRNA from 1 species
AGAGUUUGAUCAUGGCUCAGGAUGAACGCUAGCUACAGGCUUAACACAUGCAAGUCGAGGGGCAGCAUUGGAGUAGCAAUACUUCAGAUGGCGACCGGCGCACGGGUGAGUAACACGUAUCCAACCUGCCGCUUACUCGGGGAUAGCCUUUCGAAAGAAAGAUUAAUACCCGAUGGUAUAAAGAGUUCGCAUGUUCUCUUUAUUAAAGAAUUUCGGUAAGCGAUGGGGAUGCGUUCCAUUAGAUAGUUGGCGGGUAACGGCCCACCAAGUCUACGAUGGAUAGGGGUUCUGAGAGGAAGGUCCCCCACAUUGGAACUGAGACACGGUCCAAACUCCUACGGGAGGCAGCAGUGAGGAAUAUUGGUCAAUGGACGCGAGUCUGAACCAGCCCAAGUAGCGUGAAGGAUGACUGCCCUAUGGGUUGUAAACUUCUUUUAUAAGGGAAUAAAGUGAGGGACGUGUCCCUUUUUGUAUGUACCUUAUGAAUAAGGAUCGGCUAACUCCGUGCCAGCCGCCGC